AGAAAACUUACAGCGCCGGGUCCUGCGGAGGGGCGAGACACUAUUUUGUUUUGUAAUACCGACAAUUACUUCUAGUUUGAUCAAUGGGUAUAAUUUCUAAGUGGUCGGUUGGAUCUGCGUAAGCUUUUUCAUGCAUUUGGUAACCCACCCGUGUGAGUUGCGAAACGUACCGCGUAGACUCUCCUGGCGGCGCCGAGCAGAAAGCUAGGCCUGCCCAGCGGCAGCCAGCGAGCAUCAGGCCUUCGGGAAGGACGCCAAGAAUGCGAUCCGGAAUCCUUCUCCCCAACCCUGGUCGGAUGACUUCCUAGCUGACCUCUGGGCCGAGAUGGGCGGGAAGCCCAGGCGCAGGCCCAGGCCCAGGCCCCACCGGACUGGAAAAAAGGAAGGCACAUGAGGAGCCGGGCCAGUUCCUUUCGCUUUCCUCUAGUUUCGGGAGCAACUACCUGAACCAGACAGAAAAGGUUUCCACUGACCCGGCAGCACACGGACUCGCUGUCCCAGGGCUCAGGAAAAAGUAGCGUCCAUAGAAAAACAACCGACUCUAAGCAGAAUUUAGUCUCGGGGCCUCCCUUGACAGUCAAUUUUCAGAACCAACAACACACCUCCUUCUUUUCUUUCUAAGAACUGUGUCCUGUCCCGUGCACCCCACUCCUGGCUGGGCGUUUUCCUCAAGUGUACCAUCCUCCUGCAAAAUUUCUUGAUUUUUAAAAUACUAAAGUAGAUAGGGUGACCUAGGGUUCUACUUUUAAAAAUCAAAACACCCCCCCC